AAGUCGUAACAAGGUUUCCGUAGGUGAACCUGCGGAAGGAUCAUUACCGGGAAUGCCCCUCGGGGCUGACCUUCAACCCUUUGUCGUUAUAACCUCGUUUCUUUGGCGGGCUCGCCCGCCAGAAGAUCUCUCAAACUCCACUAUAAUUGUCCUCUGAAGCACAAAUGAUAAUAAAUCAAAACUUUCAACAACGGAUCUCUUGGUUCUG
rnacentral:misc_RNA from 1 species